UACGGAGGAUGCAAGCGUUAUCCGGAAUGAUUGGGCGUAAAGCGUCCGCAGGUGGCUAUGUAAGUCUGCUGUUAAAGAGUGAGGCUCAACCUCAUAAGAGCAGUGGAAACUACAUGGCUAGAGUGCGUUCGGGGCAGAGGGAAUUCCUGGUGUAGCGGUGAAAUGCGUAGAUAUCAGGAAGAACACCGGUGGCGAAGGCGGCUCUCUGGACCACUACUGACGCUGAGGCGCGAAAGCUAGGGGAGCAAACAGG
rnacentral:rRNA from 1 species